CAGAUACCGCCGCUGUCAUUUUUGCGCAAACUGUCGUUUAAGCUAUUGCCUGACUUCCACUGGGUUACUUGCAUCAUCGUUUCAUCUGCAUCUAUCUACAAUAAUUCUGAAUGCCUCGUAAAGGAAUGGGGGUCACUCGUCGGGUUCCCAUGGUUAUAUGGAGUCAUCAAGCUUUGUGGGAAUUCCAUGGCUGCAGAUGCAGAGAACUUUGGCUCUCACCUCAUCUUUACGCAGGUCACUCUCUGGACUGGCGCUAUUAUGAAGCAGGCUCUAUCAAGCUGAUGUGUAUGGUCAUCUUUCAGUUGAGUUCUAGGUAAGAGUCGGCUCAUCUUUAAAGUCCACGUGAACUGGAGGUCGCUGCUGACUUUAUUUCAGUGUGGUGACGUAUUUCCAGCUGAAACGGAAUAUUGAAUAGAGGGCAUGGUUUUUGUUUGCACUUCUAGUCUCUGUCUUUCACUUAUCGCAAACUAAUGGCUGGAGGGGUGUGUUUAAGGAUAUUCUGCCCAUGCCGUCAAACUGACGUCAUUAGAAAAGGAAUGCCAUUCCACAGCAGAAGUAAAUGUUCAGAUUUUGAUUAAGGAUUACAAAGAAGAUUAUUUCUUUCUUUUUCAGCGGAUUAACUUGCACAGAUCAUUUACAUCAAUACUAGCCAUGUGUGCUAGUAAAGUCAAUUGAUUUCACGCAGACUUUAAGUUAUAAUCGAGGCUUGUUUGGUCUUACCCGGCUGUUGCUGCCUUCACCUUACACAGACUGCUGAGGCACUUUGCAUAACUCUGCUAUGAUGGUCAUCAGGGACGGUGUCCAUUACAGUUAUGAGUUUGGCCUAUUGUGGCCUUCACAUGUCACAACGACUUUGCUUAAAUUGAGUAUCUCUUUUUAUGGUCAUGCUGAUCUGGCUCAUUUUCUAUUUUUUUUUGGGGGGGGGAUAGGUUGCUCUGCAGUUUCUGGCAGUUAGAUGGAGUUUUAUCAAGAGUGCGCAGGAGUCUAGCCUAAAGAAUUGUAUCUGUGUAUAUGCUCUUAUGUCUGCUAGAACCCUAAUGCUACCUCUUAUCAAUUAACCUAAUCACCUUCUCAGUGAGGUGGUUUAGAAUUCCUGUAAUUUGCCUUCAGGCUGCUAUGUUCAUGAUCCUCCUCAUUGGAUGUCCGUCAAGAUCAGACUUUAUUCACGUAAUGCUCAAGGUACAGUAUAAUACUCUUAGCAAACUACUGGUGGUGACUACUUCUCACAUGCUCCCCAUGUCCAGUUUAUCAUGGUUUUUCACACACAAUGGUCUAUCGUUGUCAUCUACACAAGGCUUUCACAUCACAUAGCUUAAAGAAAAGUACAUUGCCCAUCAAUGUAAUGUAAUGCGUGUGUUUAAGGUAAAUUAAGCAAAUACUGGUGGUGGUGGUGUUACACCUAUUCAUUACUUUUACUCUUCCACAGCCUCUCGCAGGCUUCCGUCAUGGCCUUAGCAGCUAUACUCUCUAUGGCCUCUUGUAGCGUUCUUUCACGGCCUAUCGGGGCCUUUGUCUCUGCGGCUGGUUCAGCUCAAUGUAGUCACGUUUAGAAGCUGCGGUCUGUCACCGCUUCUAUACACUGGUCACUAAUGCUGUUGAACUCGGAGUACAAACAUCAGAUAUGAAGCUACUG
ensembl:lncRNA